ncrna:Capitella teleta microRNA cte-mir-1990c precursor
CGAGGCUGGAAGUUAACGUAGUCCCGGGUUGCAUCGCUGUACUUGGCCCUGGGACUAUGUCAACUUACAACUGCG